CAAGGUCACCCCAGGAUGGAGGAGGUGUGGUCCUUUUGACGGUGCUUCUUUUGGAAAAAGCUCCCAGCUGCAGGGUCCUGGAGGAUGUAGGUGGAGCAUGGUGGUUUUUUGCUGCCCAGUGCCACAGGGGCUGAGUGAAUCCAAAAUGCUCGAAGGAUUGCUCACGUGGGUAAUGUCCUGGGACAGGGGCCAGGAGCAGCAGGUCCCCCCAGCAGGAGAAGGCUUGGAGGAGUUGUACCAGCUGAAGGUGCCUGUGAAGGUCUUGGAGAUGGUCUUCCUGAAGGGUCAGCCUUGUGCCGGGGUCUGCCCACUGGGAGCUGGAGAGUCCCAGCUCUGCCUGGAGGCCCGAGCUGGGCUCUGUGGGGGCUGAUGCCACAGGACAGAAGCUGAAGAGCCUGCAGCCAUCGUGUGCCUUCAAGCGCAGAGUGAUGCUGGGGCCCUCACUCAGAGCUGUGUCACAGGUCACACGUUCAGCUGUGACCUGCAGGGCAGAAGUGCCAGUGCCGCCCCUCGCCUACAGACACCACGUGUCGUGAAGGAUCCGAAUCCUGCUGAGCUGCUGAUCACACUGCUCCUGGAGACUGUGGGGGCAAGUGGAUGAAGCUGUCCUCAGGUGGCUGCUGACCUCUGAAGAUGGGUGAGGUAGCUCCCACAGGAACUAUCGGGAGAGCUGCAGGAAGGAGCAUCAGGAGAGCCUCGUAAGGACCCAGGCUGUGCCAGUGUGCUCCAGUGGCCACUUAAACCAAGGGCAGCCCUUCCCGAGGAUUUUGCUGUGUCUAGACCUCAUCUGAAGCCACCUUUGUGUUGCUCAACAACCAGAUGGACUGAGAGCAACUCCCAUGUAGUUGGCCUGAUGCACAUCACCCCAGUGGAGCUGUCCUGCCAGAGGUCACAGCCAGCAGAACCAUUGGGGCUGGGCCCAUGCCCUGUGGACAACUGGACUGAGCCUGGCCUGGCACAGCUGCCUCCAGUCCUGACCUGCACAUAGUAGGUUAGUUGUCCUGCACCACCUAACCUAGCUUUUGGUUAGCCUCAUCCAAAACUUCUUGUUGCAUCUUGACAACCCUCAUGAAAUUUGGAGCACCUUGGGGGCUCGGUGGAGAACCUGCCUGUGGGGUAUGCAGGGCUUGGACUGCAAGCAAGACACAGGCUAGGGUUGGUUACUGCUGCAAUUUGUGUCUGGGCAAAUAAUUGGCAUCAACUUAAGAGACUGACGAGUGAAACUGCCUUCCAGGUGUGAUUCUUCAAGCUCACAAACACAGAAGCAAUUCUGAGUGGUUGCUGUUGAAAAUAGACACAAAGAGCUGCUCCUGUGGUGGAGCAAUUGCUACCUGGCUCAGGAUGUGAGGUGUCCCAUUGGAAUAGACCCCUCAGGAGUGGGCUGUGGAAGCCCAGGGCCUUGGCCAGUCACUGCUCAACCCAAGUAUGUGCCUCCUAAAUGGUUCAGGAAUGUUUGUGCCCUUGCCUCAAGAGCUGCCUGGUGUGGGUAGGAAAGACCAGCCCAGGCUGAAGAGCAGAAGUGGGACAUCUCAUUCCUGUCUCAUCCCUGACUGCUGUGUCCCCACAGCCUGUCCCUUUCAGUGAGUGUGAGCAGCUCUGUCCCUGGGCCCUGACGUGGCUGUUGGAGGGACCUGGCCAUCCCCAGCCCAGUAGAGGUCCUCGAGCUCUGAAACCCAGCUGGAUGUUUGUCCCCACUGCCAGAUCUUCUUGGGGCCACCACCUCAAUCCUUUCCUCCUCUCGGGGUGGGAGCCUUGGAGAGGGAGCCGAGCUGGGCUGCCUGGAGCUCCUCCUGUGCAGACCUGGAGUCCACCCUUGUGCCCACGGCUGCUCCAUCUUCUCUGGCUGAGCUGGUCCUCUCCAAAGGGCAGGAGAACAGGAGGGGCUUAGAGAGACCCUCAGCUUUGCCAACCCUGCUGAGGGCUGUGGCUCCUGUUCAUGGGUGGCUGGGGAGCCCCAGAGGGAGGGGUGGUGGGCAAGCAGGGGUUGGUGGGCUCAGAGGCCACUCCACAGUGCUGUGCUGGGUGUGGGCCAGGAAGAGACCUUGGAGUAAGUGUCCAGUGCUGUCCUUGAGAGCAGAUGUGGACCUGGAGAGGAUCCUCCAUUCCUUUUCUAAGAAAGCACAGUGCAAGUGUGCAAGCCCCCAGCUGAGAAAGCACAAUCUGCUUUGCUCUUGGAGAACCCUCAGGGACGGGAUCUUUACAUGUGGAACAAGACUGCACCUCUGGAGCAGUGUCUGGGGAAGUGAGCAGCAGGCAGGAGCGGGACUGUGGGACUCUGCCAUGGCAAGAGAUGAGCAUGGGACACCAAUCAGGGACUAGAGCUGGUGCUCCCUGCACUCUGUGCAGACCUGUGGGAUGGCCGUGGGCACCCCUCAGAGCUGGCAGGUCCCCAGCAAAGGCAGGGGACUGUGUGUGGCCCUGGGGAGCCCCACCGGCCUGUUUGCUGCGGCGCUGAGGACUUGUGCAUCCCCAGCUUGGCAGGAACAUGGUCGAAAGAGGGAUGAGGGCAGGCGUGAGGCACGGAGCUGUCCGUGCUGUGGGGAUGCAGGGACACCUCAUCCCAGCUCCGGGCUGGCCCGAGGAACUCCAUGCCCAGCCCAGAGGCAGAGCUGCUCCUCUCCUGGGGCACAGCUGGUGGCACGUCCCAUCCCGGGUGACACGCCACCCUGCCUGCUGUGGGGCCGGCCCGAGCUGGCCCUCGGUGGCUGUCCCGGGUCCCGGGCGAGGCGGUGACCGCCAGCAGCGCCCUCCGGCCCGGCCCGGCCCGCGCAGCCCGGCAGCGGCAGCAGCGGCAGCGCUGUCUCGCAGCACCAUCUAGCGCUGCCCCCAGAGCCGCGGCAGCGCCGUGGGGACACGCCGUGGCUGUCCCCCGUCCUAGGUCGUGCUGCCCAGGCCAACCUGCCAGGAAAGCGAGCCAGCCUGGUGGUGAUGGGGAUGAACAGGCGGCACAGCGUGGCUGCUGGCCCGGGGCAGCCGGAACUGCCUCCCCCGUGCUCCUGCUCUGUGCCAGGGAAUUUCCUGCAAGGAUUCCGGGAAACAUCGAGGGGCGCAGACGUUCCCAGUUCCUGAGCCAAAUGUAUCUGGCCUCAGCUGCUGGUUUUGCCACCUCCUCCCAUGGAAAUUGGGCCUCUGCCCUCUCCCUGGAACACUUGCUUCUCUAUCAGCCAGGUGGCUCCAGCUCUGUCAGUGCCUCACCCUCGGGGCCUUCACGUCACUCCUGCAUCCCCAGCAGUUUCUUGGGGCCCAUCUUCCAUACCUGGUGAGAGUGUGAUCCCUUCCCACAACUUGCCACUGUUCCCCUUUCUCACAUUCAGGGCAAUGUCAGACCUUUCCAGCCUGGCUUUGGGGACGCCAGGACCCCAGCACCAUUACACUGUCCUCUCAUCCCCUUGCUCUGUGUCACCUGUUUGUCUCAGCUUGUCACCCCUUCUGGGUGUCUGCCACUCUCCACACCCUGCCUGGCACUGAGGUGGUGGGAGAGCAGGCAGGAUUCUGGUGUGGGGGGGGGUAGUGCAGGAAGGAUUUUGGCUCAGUGCUGGAUGCCAUGAGAAUGGAAUGCUCCUCCAAAGGGGCCAUGGUGAUGGGUUUUCUCUUCUUUUGGAGUACUUCUGUGGAUGGGGAUGUCAGACCUGCACUGGGGUGAGGCAGCUGCUGAGCCCAACAGGGAUUGCAGCCAGGUCCUCUGCUGGUGGGCAGAGGCUCCCCAGGGCAGGAGGAAUUGUACACCUUGGACUGAAAAACGGGUGCUUUGAGUCCUGUAUUUACUCCAGCUGCCCUCCUCCUGUCCUUGGGGAGAGAUGGAAGUCACCUGGCAGUGAAAUCCCCGUGUCCGAGUGGUUGAGUGGCUGGGGCUCUGCCUGCUCUGAUUUGGCAACCCAGGGGCAGGAUCUGUGCCCCUAAAAAAGGAGCAGGGGGCUCAGACCUUCCUAGGCCUCCUGUCUCCUCCCAGUGCUGCUGAACUGGAUGGCACUGGGUGAGAUGGGACGAGAUGUUGCUGAGCCCGUUGCUGCCCGUUUCCACCGCUCUGUGCUCGCUGUCCCCAUGCCCUCCCUCCCCGCCGCCUGCCUGCUCCACCGGCACCUGCCGGGAGGUAAGAGUAGCAAAGCAGACACCGAACAUAACGUGGCCCUGGGCUGUUUGUGCACCUUUUGUUCGGCAGCAACUUUCAUGAAUCAGCUCAUUAAUCACAUUAGGAUGGCUCUGCCGCCCCGCCUGAGUCUUAAUUGGGCGGGGCAGAUUUGGGGCAGGGGCCAGCGGCAGCCCCGGUGGCUUUGCCAGGCAGGCAGGCAGCGGAGGGCUCCCACAGCAGCCCUCAGGGUGGGUGACAGCCUGGAGGGCUGCUGGCCAUAGAUGUGAGAGCCUGGGGCGUGCCGUGGAGAGGGGGAGCCGGCCAUGUUCCCCUCACCUUCGUGGCAGCACACAGGGAAGUGUCUCUCACACCAGUGCAGGGUCCUGCUCCACAGCCAGCCCUGCAGCCCAUCGCAGGGUAGUUCCAUGGCCAUCAGCCGUGCUUCAGGGAGCCUUAUGGUGUGAUAGACCCCAGAACUAUGCAGGGAGCUCCCGUGAAGCCAAAAAGCUAUUGUGCAUCACCAUCCUUCCUUGCCAUCUCGCUGCUGUGCAACAGCCCAGCUUGGAGUGCUCCCAGGCCAAGACAUGGCUGGAGGGUAGUGAGGAUGGAGCUUCACCCAAGUCUCUGUGUGCCAGCCCCCAGAGCUGUGCACUGCUCUCUCCUGUUCCCGACGUGCCUCCAUGGCCUCUGACUGCGUGCCAGGCUCUGCUCUCACCGCAGGGUUUCCAAAGCUGCCAGGGUGGCUCAAGGCCCUCCUUAGGUGGGGGAUGAGACCCCUGUGGUGACUUUCCAGCUGGCAGGGUGCAGCCUCCCGAGGGCAUUCCCUGCCCCGAGGCUCUCGCAGGAACAAAUGCCCCGCGUGCUAUCGAGGCCGAACACCCCGGCUGCGAGCGAUGGGCUGGGAAGGUGGCGGCUGCCGGCUGGGAGUCACUGCAGAGGCAGCUGCCGCCCCUGGCCGGCUCCUCUCCCCUUUCCCCGGCGCUGCUUGGCCGGUCCGAUGCCUGCCGAAGGCUCCAGCAGGCCCCUGGAGGCAGCAGCUCCAAGUGAGCCAGGGGUUUGUGAGUGGCCUGGGCUUUGGGCAAGGCCCUGCGUAGUGAGGGGCUCCCCAGGGGCCUAAGCCAGGUCCUGUCCUUGCCAAAGUUGCCUCUCUUCCACCACGGAGCUUUUCCCUCAUGCAGAGCCCUGCACGUGGACCUGGCUGGGGGCAGCUUGGUGGCCCAGAGAUGCCUGCCAAGCCUGUGAACUUCCAGGUGAGAGCCUACUUGGUAAGUAAGAGGGGGCAUCACUGUGUUGGUCCUUGCACUCACUUGUGACCCCCAAACUUUGCAGGGAGUGGCAUGAGGGUGCCCUCAGGUUGCAGCCAGAACUGCCACAGGGACAUGGAUGGUUGGUGGCAGUGGUGACCCAUGCACCCCUGACCUUCUGCUCCUCUCUCUCACUUUCCAGCCCCGCUUUUCCCUUCAUUGGCACCUUUGCUGUUACAUGCAAGGGAGCCAAGAUCUGACUGUGCCAUGCUUGGGCCCUGGGCACGGGACAUGCCUAUGUCUCCUGCCCCUUCUCCCAGGGCUCCCAAAUCCCAUCAGCCCCACAGGGAAGUGUUCCUGCAGCUGCCUGGGCCAAGAACGGGCUCCUGAUCUGAGCUCCCCGGGGCCCUUUGCCUGGGUUUUGGGUGGUGGCUGCUCAGACCCCAGUGUCACCCCUGCCCUACGGCCCGGCCUUUUGCUCCUGCGGUGCCUCAGGGAGGCAGAUGCCGGCCCCGGGCGCGUUCUGUGAGAGGCGGCUCGGGACCAGGAGCGGCUGAGCUGCUCCCGGCUAUUCCCCCCGGAGCCACUGGAGGGCGGCAGUGACCCAUCAUAGUGGGGCCCGCCAGCUCCGACCGGGCGAGCUGGGCGAGCUGGGCCAGCCCGGGCAGGGCGGGCGAGGGGCGAAGGGGCUCCGGAGGUCCCCCCGGGCCGUCUCAGGCCUCACGUCCCUCCGGGACCUUCUCCCAGGGCUGCUCACCCGGCGGGAGCCUCAGCCACGCGUGACGGUGACCUCUUGAAGCUCCGCGGAGCCUCCAGCGUGAGCGGCCCCGCGGGGAGCGCGGCCCACAGGCACCGGGGAGGUUAAGUGGCUCUGGGAAUUCACAGUUUGUCUCACUGAACGAUGUGGGUUGGAAAGGACUUUUAAAGGUCACCUAGUCCAACCCCCUGCCAUGAGCAGGGACAUCUCCAGCCAGGUCAGGUGCUGAUCCACUGAUCUGACCUGAUCUGGGCAACGUGUUCCAGUGUUUCACCACCCUCACCCUAAAAAAUUCCUUCCUUAUAUCUAAUCUAAAUUGGCACUCCUUUAAAGCCAUCACACUUAUCCUAUAGCUAUGGGGCCUACUAAAAAGUCUGUUCCAAUCUCUUACAGGCUCCUACAAGAACUGGAAGGCUGCAAAAAGAUCUCUCUGGAGCCUUCUUCAGGCUGAACAGCCCCAGCUGCCUAUCUUCCCUCUGAUCAUUUUUGUGGCCUUCUCUGGACCUCCUCCAUCAGGUCCAUGUGUUUCCUGUACUGACACCCCAGGGCUGGAUGCAGCACUCCAGGACAGAGGUCCCACCCUCACUGGCUGUUGUUGGUGCUGGGUGCAGUUUUGGUUGGUGUCUCUGUUUGAAGGCUGGCCUAGGCUGGGGUCACACUGCUGACAAGACUCUGCCCUGCAGGUACUCCAGGCUGGGAUCCAUCAGUGAAGUCUGUGCUGAGCAAGCUACAUCAACCAAUAUGUCAUUUUCCUUAAGAAGUGCUUAAAUGCAAAGACACAAGCAUCUUUUACACAAACAGCAAUGGAAAUGUGGAUUUGGGUGUGACAGAAUCUCUGGGGAUUUAACUUGCUGACUUCUGAGAUUUUGGUACAUAAAAUUAGAACUCUGGGACCAUUAUAACACCUGGACACCUAAGCAGUGUGAUCUGACCUUAUUUAAACAACCUGGAUCUUGAAAAGCAAAGCGGCAGUUCUACCUCCACUGUGGCUCUUGGUGUCUGUAACACUGGACCUGCUAAGAGUGUAAGGUUUUGCUGUGGUGUGGACAACACUUGAACUUUAAUGUCAGGGAAUGACCUCAAUCUGAUACUUGGUCAUCUUGGGGGAACUCUUCAUGCACAGUGCCUUCGUUAGCACCAAGGAUCACAUCUCCAUUCCCUCCUGGUUUGGAAACACCAAGACAAACAUGAAGUCUUCGGGAAUAUUAGAAAAUGAGGGGGUCUCAAAAUCUUGGCAGCUGUAAAAUGAUGACUUCUUUGGGCCACAAAUUCACCUUUGGAUUUCUUUGGGCAUUCUAAUGAAAAGCCUCAAGAAUGACUUUAGGAUACCUCUAUAAAUAGGAGAGAGAGAUCUGGGCUCCCUACUGCAAGUGGACAUACUUCAGGGAACAAAUGGGACAUUGGAAAAUACUCAAGGUCAUUUGAAAAUUACUCUUGACUCCCAGUCCUGAAAACAUCUUGAAUUCCUGACAUGAUCAAAAGCAACUUGUCAGAUGUCUUGGUUUCUUUAUUCUGGUUCCCAAAUCUGACUCUUCCUGUACUGACAGUGCCCAGCUCUGGUGUGUGCAGCACCUCCAAGGUUCUGAGCAGGCUGUGCCAGGAGCACUAUUGGAACACUGGUGCUCUCCUCCAAGCCCGCUCUCUUUGAAACGUGCUGUGAAUGGGAAUCAGUGAUGGUAGCUCCCAUCCCAGUGCCUUCUCUAUGCGACUGGCUUUGCUCCAGACAGGGAAUGAGAGGGAAAAUGCUGGAGAGGGAGAUCUUCCAGAGGACUCAGUGACCUUGCUGCUCCCUGUCUGCCUCUUGUUGGCAGCAGGGUUCCCAAACCCUUCUGUUUCUGGCAGUGCUGUCCUUGUGUUCUUGCCAGCACCCAUCCAGCACUGCAGGAAGGAUGGUUACCCUUCCCAAGAGCCUCCCUCCAGGGGCCUUUUCCCUCAUCCCCCCAGCCUGGCUGCCCACACCGAGCAAUGCCCAGCACUGUGACACAUCCGAGGCUGCCCUGCUCAGGAGCCCAUGUGCACGCAGAGCCAGGAGCAGACUUUGUGAGGAGGCUUUGUGAAUCUUCCUGCAGGUGACUGUUAAAUAACUGAUUCCUACCUGUUAAAGUACUUUAGCCCCAGAUAAAACUCUGUGCAUAGUAUAUAUAAAUGGGUAUAUAGGCUUAUACACAUAAAUGUGUAUAAGCCAAUGUUAAAUACUCAAAAGCUCAGCAAAAUGUUACAGUGAUGAAACAAACACUAGAGCAGCUGCUACAGGUGAUAUAUUGCAUGAACUGAACCUUGGGCAAGAGUCAAUGGUCAAUAGCUGAUUUAAAAAUGGCCCAAAAAUCUGCUGGACUUUUUCUUCCCUGGCUAUAACAGGUAUUAAGAUGUAAAACAUUUUAAAAUCCUUUCACGAUUCACCUUCCAAAAAAAUUAAGCAACUUUAUUAAAGAAUCAGUUUCAUUUUCUCCAAACCUUUAUUGCUAUAUUAAUGCAAAUUGGACCUGUGGGAAGGAAGGUAAUGAGGUUGGCUUAACUCCUUUUAUCUCUCAACAACUAAAAGUAGUGAGGUGUUUCAGAGCUGGUAGCAGCUCCCUCUUCUCCUUCCCACCACUGCCCCCAAGGAAAUGCCAUGCACUGCUUUUGCUCUGCCUGCUCUCAGACUCUGCAAGCCCAAGGCACUCACGUUAAAACGUUAGCUGGCAUCAUCUGUGAUUCAGGUGCUGCCUCUAUCAAGGACUGCCAAGUGUUUGUGGAGUUAGGAAUCACAAAACCAAAUUCAAAGAACCAUUCUGCAAAGUUAAGAAAAAAAAAAAAAUCCAGAGGCAUUUGAAAGAAGAAAAUUCACAAAUGGUCAUUUUGCUUUUUACCUGAUAGGCUGGGGAGCUCCCUAAACUGUCCUGCUGGGCUGCCAACAUUACAUUUUACAUUUAAAUUACUUUGUUCAGCUUAAACUGCACUGAACCCUGCCCUCCUCUUAGAGCAGAUACUCCCUUUCUAAAAUAGCUGAUGGUACUGAUAAGGUCACACCACUUCCGUGGCAUUCCGUGAAAAUUUCAACACACCUAACUGGGAACAGGAAACCACCCUCCUCCUCUUGCAGACAUCCUGGGAUCCAGCUCAGGUUAAGUUCCAACUGGUUGCCCAAAAGACAUGGAGCUCAAUGUUUUGCCCCUUCUCCAGCCCAGAUUAAGAGCAGCACUGCAGUGAGGGGGGUCAGGGGUGCAGUUGUGGGGUCACUCUCACUGCUGAAACCAGGUAAACCUGGCACUCUGAGGAAGACCCAGGAAUUCCAGUAAUAGCUGAAUCUGAAAUAGCCUGUUUCCUUGCCUCAGGCAGCCUGUGGUGGAUUUAUGCCCUCAGGCAUGAUUACCCAGCUUUUUUGCUUACAUAACAAAGUGUUAAUACACUUAUGAAAUGCUAUCCUUAAUACUGUGGCCCAUUAGUCCUGACAAGAUGAGUGCUUCAGAGCUACUCUGAAAAAUUAAAAUCACCACAUUCAACCCAUUUUAGUCACUCUAAUCCCUGCCCUGCUGGGGGUCAGUCCCUGUGCUGCAGCACACAGAGCACAUCCAUACCUUCUAGACACUGCCCUUUGAAAUAAACUUUCUGUUCCAGACGGAAUUUUUCCAUUUGUUCUGCUGAGGAAAAGUUUAACUCCCGAGAUACUGCUUUGCAUUUCAGGAUUUUUUUAGGAACUCGAGCUGUGAAACAGAUAAAGAAGCAUUAUUUGGACACAAUAAAAUCCAGCUUCAGCAGUUACUAUUAUUCUAUACUUGGAAAUAAUGAUUAGGACUAAUACAAGAUCAUAGCAGCAGGAAAAAUACAAACACAAAGGACUUUGGUUUUACAUUUGUUUUUACACUUGCAAGAGUGAAAUCCAAGAUGCAAAUACCUUAAGUACCCUGCCCACAGCCAAGAAUGAAAUUUAUGGCAGAACCAGGGAUACAAUACUGAUCUCUCAGAACCAGACUCCUGGUUCUUAGUUGUUUGUUCCUAAACCCCAUAAUUUUUCAAGUUGAAAUAUAUGAUGCAACUUAAAUUUUCACUUUAAGAAUUGUGCUGAAGAUCAUUGGCAGCCAAAGGGCUACUUAGCACACCAAGCUCCUUAGCCCUUCUCACCUUUCCUUCCGUUUCAGAUUGUGCAUCCCCAGAGCAAACCACAAACGUGUCUCUCUCAGCCCAGCAGCACUUCCUCAACCAUCUCAGAGCUCUGGGAAGUGUCCUGUAGAAGCAAACUCCCUUAACACUGAGACCUGCCCAGGCUGUAAAGCCAGAUCACACUGGAAGGUUUAAGAGAGCAAUUUGACAAUCCAGGUUUCUGGGCUCUUGCAAUGGGUGAGACACCAACAGCAAGUGGCAAACUGUACCCGGUAGAUAUUUCACAAGAUGAUUUUUUAUAGAGGUGGAGGAGUAAGAGAAGGGACAGCUAGAGAGCACUGAUUAAGAGUCCCAAUCAGAAGAGUACGAGGGGGGAGUCCAAACCAGUAAAAAUCUCCCAUGCCUGUCAUACUUCAGUGGAGUGAUUGUGCAUAAUUCCUUCCUGCAUAUUAGAGAAUGUUUCAUGUGAAUUUUUCAGAAAUAAAGAGGGGAGGGAAGACAGCUGGCAUGUGCUUUAUGAGCCAAACUGUUCCAAAAUGGAAGGCAUAUCAAAACAUCCAUGAGCAGGGAGCAGACUGGUGUUUAAUAAAUGCAGGACUCUCCCAAACCCCAGGCAAAUCUAUCUAAUGUAGAACAGUUUAAUGGAGUAGGACCUUGAUACAACACCAAUCUCAAGAGCUGGAGGCUUAGGGAAUGUAAGCCAGCAUCCUACCCCAAGGAGAAGUACACAGCUUGGUAAAAAAAGAAGAAAAAAAGAAAAAAAAAGAUUAAAAAGAAAAUGAGAAGCGUAAGGCAAGAGUUUUAAAUGUAAAAGUUCUCUAAUUAUUUUUAUGGGAUUUUUUGCACCAUGGAAACCUGCAUGGCACCAUCCUUUACUGCCCUCACCAGUACAGACUACACCAUUGUGGAUAAACAUCCCUUUGCAGUUAAGUGUAAAAUGACUUGUUAAAACUCUUCUGCAAUUUAGUAAUUUCAUUUCUUUCAUCCCCGAGAAAGAGUCCUGAGAAUGUUCGCUUUAACAUUGUAAAACUACCAAUAAAUAGUUACUUUUAAUAAAGUA